rnacentral:ncRNA from 1 species
GUAAUCCCCUAGGGGUGCUUCCAUCAUAGCGGAGGCUGAGAGAAGGCACUUUUUCCUUCAACCCUUGGAACCUGACUCGACUGGGUAAUGCCAGCGUAGGGAAGCGGGAUGGCCGACAC